ensembl:lncRNA
AGAGGUGUAGCAUUACACGCUGGCUGUCGGAGCAGCGGCUCAGACUCGCACAAAAGAGGUGACGCAGUAAUGUAGGAAGGAAAGAACAGACGGAAGAUGUGAGGAGGAAGAACACUGCGAGACGACGAGAAGGGGACGGGAGGAAAGCAUUAUGGCUGGAAAUAGGAAUGGAGACAGAAUGGUGAUGAGAGCUGUGAUUGAUCAGCUUUUCCAGGAGGAAAUGAGAGGGCAUCUCUCAGAGGCCUGUUAAAACAGCCAGUUGUUCCAGGACAGCCUUUCACGUGACGGGCCAACCUACGUUGCAAACCCAAACGACCGGAGAUAAGAUGUCCGAUGUCCAGAUGACCGCUCGAUGUCUUGUGGUGCAGAGAUGUAUGCCUCGCCCAAGGCUGGACACGUGCACAAAGCCUUCCCUGUUUCAUCAUGUUAUCUUUCAGCUAUAUAUUUUGGCGCUGGAGAAGACCAUAAGAAGCCUUGAAGACUCUGUCUAUGUUGUCAAAUAUUGCUCUUGCUUGCAAGUAUUAUUUAAUAAAUGCCCUGUUUAAUGAUUUUAUAACAGUGUCGAGUAAGACUUUUUCUGAUAUUAUCCUUCCUGCUAAUUCUUGUGUUUUCUCUUGGCAUUGUAAACACCCCUCCUUCUCCUACACCCACCUACACUUCUGUUACCCCCUCUCCUCCCCUUUGUCAUUCUACUUCACCGUCUUUUCUCAGUUCCGCUACCCGACUAGACUCCGUCAACAGCAGUCCUGCGUACUCCACCCCUCUGCGAGUGGUACACGCCCCUGCAGCUCCACGGAUGGUGUUUCGGUGGCCUUGUGUAGCGGUACGCAGCGCGCACUCGACCGCAG